UCGGGUAUGGUGUAACGGCUAACAUUGCCGCCUCUCAUCCGUCCUUGUGAUAAUUAUUAAUUCAUAGGUUCGCGGCAGCUCGGGGUUCGAUUCCCCGUACCCGAA